GACGAACGCUGGCGGCGUGCUUAACACAUGCAAGUCGAACGGAAAGGCCCUGCUUUUGUGGGGUGCUCGAGUGGCGAACGGGUGAGUAACACGUGAGUAACCUGCCCUUGACUUUGGGAUAACUUCAGGAAACUGGGGCUAAUACCGGAUAGGAGCUCCUGCUGCAUGGUGGGGGGUGGAAAGUUUCGGCGGUUGGGGAUGGACUCGCGGCUUAUCAGCUUGUGGGUGGGGUAGUGGCUUACCAAGGCUUUGACGGGUAGCCGGCCUGAGAGGGUGACCGGGCACAUUGGGACUGAGAUACGGCCCAGACUCCGACGGGUGGCAGCAGUGGGGAAGAUUGCACAAUGGGCGGAAGCCUGAUGCAGCAACGCCGCGUGCGGGAUGACGGCCUUCGGGUUGUAAACCGCUUUCGCCUGUGACGAAGCGUGAGUGACGGUAAUGGGUAAAGAAGCACCGGCUAACUACGUG
rnacentral:rRNA from 1 species